rnacentral:rRNA from 1 species
CAGCAGCCGCGGUAAUACGUAGGUCCCGAGCGUUGUCCGGAUUUAUUGGGCGUAAAGGGAGCGCAGGCGGUUUAGUAAGUCUGAAGUUAAAGGCAUUGGCUCAACCAAUGUAUGCUUUGGAAACUGUUAGACUUGAGUGCAGAAGGGGAGAGUGGAAUUCCAUGUGUAGCGGUGAAAUGCGUAGAUAUAUGGAGGAACACCGGUGGCGAAAGCGGCUCUCUGGUCUGUAACUGACGCUGAGGCUCGAAAGCGUGGGGAGCGAACAGGAUUAGAUACCCCGGUAGUCCCUGUCUCUUAUACA